UACGUAGGGGGCGAGCGUUGUCCGGAUUUAUUGGGCGUAAAGAGCGUGUAGGCGGCCAGACAGGUCCGUUGUGAAAACUCGAGGCUCAACCUCGAGAUGUCGAUGGAAACCGUCUGGCUAGAGUCCGGAAGAGGAGUGUGGAAUUCCUGGUGUAGCGGUGAAAUGCGCAGAUAUCAGGAAGAACACCUAUGGCGAAGGCAGCACUCUGGGACGGUACUGACGCUGAGACGCGAAAGCGUGGGGAGCGAACAGG
rnacentral:rRNA from 1 species